GCGCUGAUUGAGCGGCCGAUAUCAGAUUAGCUAGUUGGUGGGGUAAAGGCCUACCAAGGCUACGAUCUGUAGCGGGUCUGAGAGGAUGAUCCGCCACACUGGAACUGAGACACGGUCCAGACUCCUACGGGAGGCAGCAGUGGGGAAUUUUGGACAAUGGGGGCAACCCUGAUCCAGCCAUGCCGCGUGAGUGAAGAAGGCCUUCGGGUUGUAAAGCUCUUUCGGCCGGGAAGAAAUCGCAUAGGUUAAUACCCUGUGUGGAUGACGGUACCGGAAUAAGAAGCACCGGCUAACUACGUGCCAGCAGCCGCGGUAAUACGUAGGGUGCGAGCGUUAAUCGGAAUUACUGGGCGUAAAGCGUGCGCAGGCGGUUUCGUAAGACAGAGGUGAAAUCCCCGGGCUCAACCUGGGAACUGCCUUUGUGACUGCGAAGCUAGAGUACGGCAGAGGGGGGUGGAAUUCCACGUGUAGCAGUGAAAUGCGUAGAGAUGUGGAGGAACACCGAUGGCGAAGGCAGCCCCCUGGGCCGAUACUGACGCUCAUGCACGAAAGCGUGGGUAGCAAACAGGAUUAGAUACCCUGGUAGUCCACGCCCUAAACGAUGUCAACUAGGUGUUGGGUGGGUAAAACCAUUUAGUACCGUAGCUAACGCGUGAAGUUGACCGCCUGGGGAGUACGGC
rnacentral:rRNA from 1 species